rnacentral:lncRNA from 1 species
CAGUCUGACACACCCACUUGUCUGUGGCUGGAAGGCUGUGAUAUGUUGGACGGGGCGAGGGAGAAGUAGGCAGGCAGCCUUUCUGGAGAUGGAAGAGGAAGAAAAGGAGGAGAUGGUUGCUGGAGGAAAGCUGCAUGGUGUGAUGUGUUGGACACCGUGGAGAUGACCU